rnacentral:rRNA from 1 species
UCGAGAAUCUUCGGCAAUGGGCGCAAGCCUGACCGAGCGACGCCGCGUGCGGGAUGAAGGCCUUCGGGUUGUAAACCGCUGUCGAGGGGAAUGAAGUGUAGGUGGGUACUCCCAUCUAUUUGACAGAUCCCUGGAGGAAGCAUGGGCUAAGUUCGUGCCAGCAGCCGCGGUAAGACGAACCAUGCAAACGUUAUUCGGAUUCACUGGGCUUAAAGCGUGCGUAGGCGGCGGUGUUAGUCAGGUGUGAAAGCCCUCAGCCCAACUGAGGAAUUGCGCUUGAUACUGCAUCGCUAGAGAAUGAUAGAGGUGGGUGGAACUGAUGGUGGAGCGGUGAAAUGCGUUGAUAUCAUCAGGAACACCAGUGGCGAAGGCGACCCACUGGGUCAUUUCUGACGCUGAGGUACGAAAGCUAGGGUAGCGAACG